UCUGAAUCUGCGUACGGCUCCGCAAACCAGUUGUAAACUAUAGCAAGCAAGCUCAGGGCUGGCCUUCACUGGCCGGCUCGGGGCGAUAUGGAUAACCCUGGUAAUUCUGAGGCUAAUACAUGAGUGUAAACCUUGGAGGACCGGCUUCGGCUGGGAAUCUGGGGGAUGUGCGAUUGCAGGCUUGGUAACACCGGGAAAGGGCGCACGUUCAGAUCACGCUAAAAAGGUCGGGCUCCUUCGGGGGCCUGCCCCAGUGACUCUUGCUGUGUGCUUCUGACCUAUCAACUAGACGGCAGCGUAAGGGACAUGCUAUGGU
rnacentral:rRNA from 2 species